CUUGGUCAUUUAGAGGAAGUAAAAGUCGUAACAAGGUUUCCGUAGGUGAACCUGCGGAAGGAUCAUUACCAAUAUGAAAGCGGGUGGGGAGCCACAGAAGCAUGAGCUCCGGCUUGUGCCUUUGCCCCAUCUGUCUGAAUAUUCACCCAUGUCUUUUGCGUACUAUUUGUUUCCUUGGCGGGCUUGCCCGCCAGCAGGACAUUAUUAAACCUUUUGUAAUUGAAGUCAGCGUCAGAAUAACUUAAUAGUUACAACUUUCAACAACGGAUCUCUUGGUUCUGGCAUCGAUGAAGAACGCAGCGAAAUGCGAUAAGUAGUGUGAAUUGCAGAAUUCAGUGAAUCAUCGAAUCUUUGAACGCACAUUGCGCCCCUUGGUAUUCCAUGGGGCAUGCCUGUUCGAGCGUCAUUUGUACCCUCAAGCUUUGCUUGGUGUUGGGCGUCUUGUCUCCCUUUUGGGAGACUCGCCUCAAAACAAUUGGCAGCCGGCAUAUUGGUAUCGGAGCGCAGCACAAGUCGCGCCUCUUUCCAUGAAUGUCAGCAUCCAUCAAGACCAUUUUUCACUCUUGACCUCGGAUCAGGUAGGGAUACCCGCUGAACUUAAGCAUAUCAAUAAGCGGAGGAAAAGAAACCAACAGGGAUUGCCUUAGUAACGGCGAGUGAAGCGGCAACAGCUCAAAUUUGAAAUCUGGCUCUUUCAGAGUCCGAGUUGUAAUUUGCAGAGGGCGCUUUGGCGUUGGCAGCGGUCCAAGUUCCUUGGAACAGGACGUCACAGAGGGUGAGAAUCCCGUACGUGGUCGCUAGUCAUCGCCGUGUAAAGCCCCUUCGACGAGUCGAGUUGUUUGGGAAU
rnacentral:sRNA from 1 species